rnacentral:rRNA from 1 species
GACGAACGCUGGCGGCGUGCCUAAUACAUGCAAGUAGAACGCUGAAGGAGGAGCUUGCUUCUCUGGAUGAGUUGCGAACGGGUGAGUAACGCGUAGGUAACCUGCCUGGUAGCGGGGGAUAACUAUUGGAAACGAUAGCUAAUACCGCAUAAGAGUAGAUGUUGCAUGACAUUUACUUAAAAGGUGCAAUUGCAUCACUACCAGAUGGACCUGCGUUGUAUUAGCUAGUUGGUGAGGUAACGGCUCACCAAGGCAACGAUACAUAGCCGACCUGAGAGGGUGAUCGGCCACACUGGGACUGAGACACGGCCCAGACUCCUACGGGAGGCAGCAGUAGGGAAUCUUCGGCAAUGGACGGAAGUCUGACCGAGCAACGCCGCGGGAGUGAAGAAGGUUUUCGGAUCGUAAAGCUCUGUUGUAAGAGAAGAACGAGUGUGAGAGUGGAAAGUUCACACUGUGACGGUAUCUUACCAGAAAGGGACGGCUAACUACGUG